rnacentral:rRNA from 1 species
UCCAGACUCCUACGGGAGGCAGCAGUGGGGAAUAUUGCACAAUGGGGGAAACCCUGAUGCAGCAACGCCGCGUGAAGGAAGACGGUUUUCGGAUUGUAAACUUCUGUUCUUAGUGAAGAAGAAUGACGGUAGCUAAGGAGCAAGCCACGGCUAACUACGUGCCAGCAGCCGCGGUAAUACGUAGGGGGCAAGCGUUAUCCGGAAUUACUGGGUGUAAAGGGAGAGUAGGCGGCAAGGUAAGCGAUAUGUGAAAGCCGUGGGCUUAACCUGAGAAUUGCAUAACGAACUAUCUAUCUAGAGUACAGGAGAGGAAAGCGGAAUUCCUAGUGUAGCGGUGAAAUGCGUAGAUAUUAGGAAGAACACCAGUGGCGAAGGCGGCUUUCUGGACUGAAACUGACGCUGAGGCUCGAAAGCGUGGGGAGCGAACAGGAUUAGAUACCCUAGUA